UAGGAGAAGAGAGAAACACAGAAAUCCUGCAAAAAAGGAGGGAUACGCACAGUGCCUAGCAAAAGGAGGCAGUGUGCCAAACUGCACUAGCGGACGUCAUUGCCAUAAGUACUCAUGUUGAUCAGCAAAGCUGACGACACUAUAUAGGGCUAUCAGGGCUUGCCAGCCGGCAGGACGAGGCGAGACAGUCCGUCUCUCCUGUGCCAUACUUCAGUCUGACAAAACAAGCUGUGCUUUGCUCUUAAUAAUAUCACCUGGCAACAAAAGAAUAAGCAAUGCUGCAGAGUGCUACUGCUGUUCAUCUCACGCAAUGACAAAAGCAAACCCUCCUGCAGCAAGCCUGCCUUGAGACAAGAGAAAGAAAACUUGUCUGGCAUCCACAAAACACACAGCAGAAAGGACCAGCCCCAUCAGAUGCAGGAGUGAAAUGGCUGAAGGCAGCAUGAGAAAAGACGUAGGCAGGCAUGUCUUGUCCCAGUGGGAACCUCACGCAAGAUAUCAAUAUGGAGAAGAGCCGUCACGUGUGGGAUGUUACCUCAAGCAAACAGAAGAAGUAUGGUCAUAUUUACUUUAGUCAAUGUACAGCUGGGACUACGAGGACUUUUUACCAGGAAAGCUAUCAAUAUUACAUUAGCACUUAAUAUUGUCUGUGGUCAAAAUCAGGGUCCAAAACUGUUGAAUGCUGAGACUUGUUUGAGACAGUUCCUUUUCUCUUCACUUCAGACUGCAACAUCUCACAAGACGUAUUAUGGUCUCUCCACCACAAGGAGUCCUUUUCUGGCAGUAGUAGAAGUCUAGCAGGAGGACUGAGUUGGACACUUAUGUCUGAAUAAUGACAAGUUCAGAGACGCCUCUGUUUCAAUAGUACUCAGGAAGUAUCUUGUUAUGUCAAAAGCUUCUUCAUAAACCUAGAUGACGGCCUCACAAAUGGUCACUUUUAAGCAUAAGAGGCGUGUUUGUAAAUUGUUUAACGAAAUGAUUGCUACUGUGCAUUACCUUGGAUGAGUGAUAUCAUUUUAAUUAAUCCUUGCACGAACAGACACAACAGACUCAGAGCAAGAAAGGAAACUGUGUUAAAGAAAAGGAGGAGAACUAAGGUUAUUUUAAAGGAUGAUACAGAGUAGCCUGAAAUAAGGAUACAUAAUUGCUAAAAUCCAAUAGGCUAUUGCAACAGGUUCAUUGACAAGCCCUUGAGAAGAGUCAGAAAUUUUUAAAAACAAUUUAUGCUCUUCAUGAGAUGACAGGGAGCAAGGACUAAUGGGAAAGACAGCAAGUGAUACUAUGGUGCAACAACAACUCAUCACCAGGUCUGAUUCAGCUUCCAGAAAGCAAACAAAAGGGAUUCUCCAGCAAACAAGGCCCCUCUCCCUCUCCUCUGCCUCUGAUGGUUCUGCAGGUUAAGCAUAUAGGCUUACAACAACAAGGCAAGCAAAAGGGAAACAUAGUGAAUGCAAGAUAGAGGGAAAUAAACACAGUUUCACAAGAUUACGGCAACAUUCAGAACAUCUUUCUAAUGCACAGACUGUGUGAAGCUUCUGAACUUCCAGCAAUAAAUAAAAAACACCUUUAAAAAAAUGCAAAACCAAAACUUGAGAGAAGUUCUAAAAUGUGCCGUGUGUCUUUGGUCCUGUGAAGAAAAAUUGUCCUGUGACUGAGAGGCUAGGCCUGACUUUUGGUGAUCACAGGCAGGUAGAGAAGAAACACCUUACCCUCAGUGCCCCAGUGUGCAGUUCGGAAGGGAGCAGGGGAGAGGAGAACAUACAAAUGCAGAAAUGAACUGGACUCUGCAGGUGCACGAAGCACAUUCAUAGGCAGCCCUUCACCCCCCCACCCCAAGGCUGUGCGAUUUUACAGCAUCUGCCUUCAGCCUCGUCUUCCCGCAGCCCCGCUCCUGGAGCUGCCCGCCGCCUCCACAGCACGCUCAGAGCUGCACGCUGGCCUGACCGGGUAGGGACUCUUCGCGGGACACACGGCAGAUAGAUACGCUCGAGGUACACCAGUGGCUCAGCACAGUAACACCAGGCCAGGCCACGCACCCCUCAGGAGUGGCUGCGGGGACAACCCUGCGCCGGGACCACACUGGGCAGGCACACCAGCUCCCAAGUCAUCUUCUGACAGGCAACAAAGCGGGACCCACAUGCUGCAGCCGGAUCUUAUUAGUUACUAUUAUUAAUUACUAUUAAAUACCAUUAAUCGCUGUUA